rnacentral:rRNA from 1 species
AUUGAACGCUGGCGGCAGGCCUAACACAUGCAAGUCGAGCGGAUGAAGGGAGCUUGCUCCUGGAUUCAGCGGCGGACGGGCGGGUAAGGCCUAGGAGUCUGCCUUGUCUUUGGGGAUAACGUCCGUUAACGGGCGCUAAUCCCGCAUCGGUUCUUAUGUUGAAAGGGGGGGUUCUUUGGUGCUAGCCGUUUUUGCUGACCCUUAUAGAUGUAUCCAGGUCGGAUUAGCUAGUUGGUACGGUAAAGGCUUACCAAGACUACGAUGCGUAGCUGAUCUGAGAGGAUGAUCGGUCACACUGGAACUGAGACACGGUCCAGACUCCUACGGGAGGCAGCAGUGGGGAAUCUUGCACAAUGGGCGGAAGCCUGACGCAGCCACGCCGCGUGUGUGAAGAAGGUCUUCGGAUUGUAAAGCACUUUUAGUUGGGAGGAAGGACAGUAAGUUUAUCCAUUGCUGUUUUGACGUUACCAACAGAAUAAGCCCCGGCUAACUUCGUG